rnacentral:rRNA from 1 species
GAUAAACGCUGGCGGCGUGCCUAACACAUGCAAGUCGAACGCCCUACGCUUGCGUAGGGAGUGGCGGACGGGUGAGGAACACGUGGGUCAUCUACCCAGAGGUGAGGAAUACCGGCGAGAAAUCGCCGACAAUACCGCAUACGUUCUGAAAAGAACAAAGUCGCAAGACGCCUUUGGAUGAGCCUGCGCCCGAUUAGUUAGUUGGUGGGUAAAGCCUACCAGACUGCAAUCGGUAGCNGGUCUGAGAGGACGAUCAGCCACACUGGGAUUGAGAACGGCCCAGACUCCUACGGGGGC